CAGACCCUCAAAUGCAGAGUCCUCCAAACCUUGGGAGUCUCAAAACUGUGGCUCAUUGAUUCCCAAGACCCCCCCACCACAAAUGCCUUCACAUUCUGAAUCCUAAACCAGAAGACUCCUCACACCUAGGGACCCCCAAAAGAGAAACUCCAACGAUUGCAAAGCAAAUUGCAAAGUAAAGGACCCCUCAAACUCCAAGACUUUCUAAAGCCAGGGAGUUUAAACUCACUCUCAAACUUGGGGAACCCCAAAUUCAAGGGCCUUUGGAUCUCCAAAUGUGCAACCUUUUGAACCCAGGGAUCCCAAACUCAAUCCCUGAGCCCCCGCUUCCUGGUUCAUCCUCAGCCUUCUCAGGAUGUCCCCUCUGCUUCCUGCAGACCUGCUGCCCACUGUGCGGAUAGUGGCCGGAGUGGCCGCUGCCACCACGACUCUCCUUAUGGUCAUCACUGGGGUGGCCCUCUGCUGCUGGUGCCACGGCAAGGCCUCAGCCUCUUUCUCCGGGCAAAAGAACCUGAUGCGAAUCCCCGGCAGCAGCGACGGCUGCAGUUCGCGAGGCCCUUAAGAAGAGGAGACAGGCAGCCGCGAGGACCGGGGCCCCAUUGUGCACACUGACCACAGUGAUCUGGUUCUGGAGGAGGAAGGGACUCUGGAGACCAAGGUGAGUGUUGGGAGGGGUGGGGCUCCCUUCACUGUUGGGAGAGGCGGGGCUCCCUUCACUGUGUUUCCAUCUCUCUCCCAUGCCUGUCUCCUCCUUUUUCCUUCUGUUGUCCUCAGAACUGGGACUCAGCUCCUCACCCCACUCCUCCUGCCCCCUGGACCAUCUCACCUAGCUCCCAGCCUCAGUUUGCCUACCUGCAGAGUCUGCCCACACAUCUGUCCCAGCCCCAGAUGGGGGUCACUAUGCCUGUGCUCUCCUCAUCACAGUCAAGCCCCCUUUCAGCCCCUUUAUACUGGCCCCAUAUCUCCCCAAACCUGUCCUUCCUCUGGGAUCCUACCUCAGGACAGCCACAUUGAUUCCAGGCCAUCCCCAGGCCACAGCACUUCUCUCUCUCCUCUGUACCUAGCACAUGCCAUUCUCUUUCUCUCUCUUCUUUUUUUUUUGAGACAGAGUCUCACUCUGUUGCCCCUGCUGGAGUGCAGUGGUGCAAUCUCGGCUCACUGCAACCUCUGCCUCCUGGGUUCAAGCCAUUCUCCUGCCUCAGGCUCCCGAAUAGCUGGCUAA
rnacentral:lncRNA from 1 species